rnacentral:rRNA from 1 species
CUACGUGCCAGCAGCCGCGGUAAUACGUAGGUCCCGAGCGUUGUCCGGAUUUAUUGGGCGUAAAGCGAGCGCAGGCGGUUAGAUAAGUCUGAAGUUAAAGGCUGUGGCUUAACCAUAGUACGCUUUGGAAACUGUUUAACUUGAGUGCAAGAGGGGAGAGUGGAAUUCCAUGUGUAGCGGUGAAAUGCGUAGAUAUAUGGAGGAACACCGGUGGCGAAAGCGGCUCUCUGGCUUGUAACUGACGCUGAGGCUCGAAAGCGUGGGGAGCAAACAGGAUUAGAUACCCUGGUAGUCCACGCCGUAAACGAUGAGUGCUAGGUGUUAGACCCUUUCCGGGGUUUAGUGCCGCAGCUAACGCAUUAAGUGCCCCGCCUGGGGAGUACGGCCGCAAGGCUAAAACUCAAAGAAAUUGACGGGGGCCCGCACAAGCGGCGGAGCAUGCGGAUUAAUUCGAUGCAACGCGAAGAACCUUACCAAGGCUCGACAU